rnacentral:rRNA from 1 species
GGAUGCUGACGAGUGGCGAACGGGUGAGUAAUACAUCGGAACGUGCCCGAGAGUGGGGGAUAACGAAGCGAAAGCUUUGCUAAUACCGCAUACGAUCUCAGGAUGAAAGCAGGGGACCGCAAGGCCUUGCGCUCACGGAGCGGCCGAUGGCAGAUUAGGUAGUUGGUGGGAUAAAAGCUUACCAAGCCGACGAUCUGUAGCUGGUCUGAGAGGACGACCAGCCACACUGGGACUGAGACACGGCCCAGACUCCUACGGGAGGCAGCAGUGGGGAAUUUUGGACAAUGGGCGCAAGCCUGAUCCAGCCAUGCCGCGUGCAGGAUGAAGGCCUUCGGGUUGUAAACUGCUUUUGUACGGAACGAAAAGACUCUGGUUAAUACCUGGGGUCCAUGACGGUACCGUAAGAAUAAGCACCGGCUAACUACGUGCCAGCAGCCGCGGUAAUACGUAGGGUGCGAGCGUUAAUCGGAAUUACUGGGCGUAAAGCGUGCGCAGGCGGUUAUGUAAGACAGAUGUGAAAUCCCCGGGCUCAACCUGGGAACUGCAUUUGUGACUGCAUAGCUAGAGUACGGCAGAGGGGGAUGGAAUUCCGCGUGUAGCAGUGAAAUGCGUAGAUAUGCGGAGGAACACCGAUGGCGAAGGCAAUCCCCUGGGCCUGUACUGACGCUCAUGCACGAAAGCGUGGGGAGCAAACAGG